GAUGAACGCUGGCGGCGUGCCUAAUACAUGCAAGUCGAGCGAGCGGACGAGAAGCUUGCUUCUCUGAUGUUAGCGGCGGACGGGUGAGUAACACGUGGAUAACCUACCUAUAAGACUGGGAUAACUUCGGGAAACCGGAGCUAAUACCGGAUAAUAUUUUGAACCGCAUGGUUCAAAAGUGAAAGACGGUCUUGCUGUCACUUAUAGAUGGAUACGCGCUGCAUUAGCUAGUUGGUAAGGUAACGGCUUACCAAGGCAACGAUGCAUAGCCGACCUGAGAGGGUGAUCGGCCACACUGGAACUGAGACACGGUCCAGACUCCUACGGGAGGCAGCAGUAGGGAAUCUUCCGCAAUGGGCGAAAGCCUGACGGAGCAACGCCGCGUGAGUGAUGAAGGUCUUCGGAUCGUAAAACUCUGUUAUUAGGGAAGAACAUAUGUGUAAGUAACUGUGCACAUCUUGACGGUACCUAAUCAGAAAGCCACGGCUAACUACGUG
rnacentral:rRNA from 1 species